GACGGAGGAUGCAAGCGUUAUCCGGAAUGAUUGGGCGUAAAGCGUCCGCAGGUGGCCGUUCAAGUCUGCUGUCAAAGACCGGGGCUUAACUUCGGAAAGGCAGUGGAAACUGAACAGCUAGAGUAUGGUAGGGGCAGAGGGAAUUCCUGGUGUAGCAGUGAAAUGCGUAGAUAUCAGGAGGAAUACCGAUGGCGAAGGCAGGUCUCUGGGCUGAUACUGACGCUCAUGCACGAAAGCGUGGGGAGCAAACAGG
rnacentral:rRNA from 1 species